CCUCUCAUAGCUUAGUGGUCAGAGUAUUGGUGUAUAAAGCCAAAGGUCCGGGGUUCGAUUCCCGGCGAGGGUG
rfam:Agrilus planipennis Contig27444, whole genome shotgun sequence.